rnacentral:rRNA from 1 species
UACGAACUGUGCAAACGUUAUUCGGAAUCACUGGGCUUAAAGGGUGCGUAGGCGGCUUGUUAAGUAGGGUGUGAAAUCCCCCGGCUCAACCGGGGAAUUGCGCCCUAAACUGGCGAGCUGGAGUGAGAUAGGGGUGUGUGGAACUCCUAGUGUAGAGGUGGAAUUCGUAGAUAUUAGGAAGAACACCAGUGGCGAAGGCGGCUCACUGGUCCGGUACUGACGCUGAGGUGCGAAAGCGUGGGGAGCAAACAGG